rnacentral:rRNA from 1 species
GAUUAACGCUGGCGGCGUGCAUAACACAUGCAAGUCGAACGAUGAAACUUUACUGAUUUGUUCUGAAGGAUUUUAAGUGGAUUAGUGGCGGACGGGUGAGUAACGCGUGAGUAUCCUGCGUUGGUGAAGGGGAUAGCCUUUGGAUACGAAGAAUAAUACCCUAUGAUAUGAUAAUAUCUCAUGUUAUUAUCAUCGAAGAUUUAUCGCUCUAAGAUGGACUUGCGUCUGAUUGGUUAGUUGGCGAGGUAACAGCUCACCAAGGCUGAGAUCCGUAGCCGGAACGGAAAAGUGUACGGCAACACUGGGACUGGGACCCGUCCCAGACUCCGACAGGAGGCGGCAAUGCUGAACUAGCCACAACGGGUGAAAGCCUGAUGCAGCGACGCCGCGUGAUUGAGAAGGCGGUAGAGAAAUGAAACUCUUUUGUAUGGGAAGAAAAUGACGGUACCAAACGAAUAAGCACCGGCUAAUUACGUG